rnacentral:lncRNA from 1 species
GAAGAAGACGAGGAGCGAGCAGAAGAAGAGGAACAAAGCGAUGAGGAGGAGGAGUACGGCGAUGAUGAAGGACCUCCACCAACUCAGACAACCCAGCUUGAGAAGAGGAAUGUGUCGAAGAGGGAUUGGGCAAGUCCAUCCCCGUUUCAGAGAGCGCGUCCUCCUCAGCGCAAGAAGAAUGCGAGUGAGACCCGCUCAAAAAA